CAUCUCCAAAUAACAUAUAAGCCUGAAAUUUUAAGAAACCUUUCAACAACAAGCUCCUUAAAAUGAACAGAUAUUGUAUCAAAAGACUCCCAAUGUUUAUUCUGAUUAUGAAAAUUCUACAAUACCUAUAAACACAAUGUAACUUCAAAAUAAUCGAUAUAAUUGUGGUCAUUCUGCAAAGAUUGAUAGAGUGCUUCCCAAAACAUUAUGGAACAAUGAUAAUAGACAGGGCAGAAUGAAAGAACAGGAUUCAUGCAGACAACCCAAUAAGUUUGGGUUAAAAUUUAGUUGAAUCAGGUAUGUAUUUGCCUCGCAAGAUAAAGAGGCAUUAGGUAUCAACAACUAGAAAAAGAUGUUGAGCUACUGACUAUGGCAACCCCAGGAAGCAUCUUCUGACAUCAUAAAAUUGCCAUUGCAUACCUUUAAGAGAUACUCAUAGAAAG
rnacentral:misc_RNA from 1 species